rfam:Desulfotomaculum acetoxidans DSM 771, complete genome.
AGAAACCUGCCGAGGUAAAAGUCAGAAACCUUGUAGCUAGGAUAGCAGGGUUAAAGGAAACUGAGAUUCUGGAGUCUAUCGACAAUAUUAUCCAAGGGAUGAUAGCGAGUUGCCAGGCCGUAGCGAAAGCGAACGCAUAGGUGGCCUCGAAAGUGCGUAGUCCCGAAGGCUGAGCCCGCAACCGUAGGGUGAAAGCAGCAUGGACAGUUGAAAACUGACUGAUACAACUGUUCCACUUCGGCGGGGUGGUAGCGAC